rnacentral:misc_RNA from 1 species
GGAAGUAAAAGCGUAACAAGGUUUCCGUAGGUGAACCUGCGGAAGGAUCAUUAUCGUACAAAAUGUGAGGGGCAUGCGAGGGCUGUCGCUGACCCAAAAGUCGUGCACGCCCGAGUGUGUCCUCUUGCAUAAUAAUCCAUCUCACCCUUUGUGCAUCACCGCGUGGGCACCCUUCGGGAUCAUCUCGGAGGGGGGCUCGCGUUUUCACACAAACCCCCCUUUUAAAAGUGUAGAAUGACCACAUUUAUGCAAUCAAUACAACUUUCAACAACGGAUCUCUUGGCUCUC